UUCGAUAUAGUGUAAUGGCAACACGUCUUGUGUAACGGUCAACAUGCGCCGCUUUCAUUGAGAAGAUCGGGGUUCGAUUCCCUGUGUCGGAA
rnacentral:tRNA from 1 species